rnacentral:lncRNA from 1 species
GAGGUAUGAAAGACACAAAUGCCGAUGACACCACACCACCUUCAUAAUAUCAGCACAACAAAAUCCCUUCAUCUUCAGAAUCAGAGCAACAUGUCCAUUCACCAUGGGAAUGGUAGUUAAACUAGAGGAAUACACUUCUAUCAAACCAUUCAGCUUGACGAGUUGCAAAACCUAGAACUAAUAUUGCCGAUCAGGACCCCAUUGAUCCAUCUCAGAUGAUUGGUGGUAGGCGUGCCAUGACUCAUAGCCACCGUAGGGAGAGGCAGAGCGGAGUACCUGAACUAUCAAGAUCAGGUACAACAUGAUGUGACGGAUGGUGGAUAUGACCAGGAUCAUAUACCACAGCAGCAGGAUGCAGGAGACG